rnacentral:rRNA from 1 species
UACGAAGGGUGCAAACGUUGCUCGGAAUUAUUGGGCGUAAAGCGCACGUAGGCGGCUUUGCAAGUCGGAUGUGAAAUCCCUCGGCUUAACCAAGGAAGUGCAUCCGAAACUGCAGAGCUUGAGUACUUAAGAGGAUCGCGGAAUUCCCGGUGUAGAGGUGAAAUUCGUAGAUAUCAGGAGGAACACCGGUGGCGAAGGCGGCCAUCUGGACGACAACUGACGCUGAGAUGCGAAAGCGUGGGGAGCAAACAGG